UACGUAGGUGGCAAGCGUUGUCCGGAAUUAUUGGGCGUAAAGCGCGCGCAGGCGGCCUCUUAAGUCUGAUGUGAAAGCCCCCGGCUCAACCGGGGAGGGCCAUUGGAAACUGGGAGGCUUGAGUAUAGGAGAGAAGAGUGGAAUUCCACGUGUAGCGGUGAAAUGCGUAGAGAUGUGGCGGAACACCAGUGGCGAAGGCGACUCUUUGGCCUAUGAACUGACGCUGAGGCGCGAAAGCGUGGGGAGCAAACAGG
rnacentral:rRNA from 1 species